GAUGGCAGCCCCUGUACGUCUGUUUUCAAGGCGUUGGAGGAGGAUUCAGAUUGGGGGUUCCUCAGGCAUAUAUUGUCUUUUGAGGUGUCACCCAUCAUCAUGUUCUGUUUAUUCCCCUCCAACUUCUCGAACAAGACAGGGGCUUGCUCCAUCUUCACCUGGGAAACCGUCUUACCUAUGUCAACAUCAGGAGAAGAAGAAAUCAUAUAAUUACAUGGAACCACUACAUUGUUGUAAAUUGCUCUCUCAAAAUGAAAUGCCUUUUAUUCCCUAACCUCUUGAGUCUCUACAGUUUCUUUCUGUUUAGUGGAGGGAUAUCGACAACCAGCAGGUUCUACAUCCACUAUUACUUCCACCUGUUUCUUCCUUUGGGGUCCAAUAUGUUUGUGUUUUGCUACCGCUGUUGCAUAAGACAAUGGAGUGACUGAUAUUCUGGAUCUGGUCAAGGGUGGAAAAGCCACUUCAUCUACAAUGGACUCCAAAUUGCUGGAUGGACAUAUUCUUGUCCAUCCAUUGGGCUGUAUUUUCUUUCACCUUUUCUAGGGUUUCAGAAUAGUGUGAUGAGGGCUUAAUG